rnacentral:tRNA from 1 species
AGAGGGCUAGUCCAAAAAAGACCUCUGAUUUCGGCUCAGAAAAUCGUGGUUAAACUCCACGGCCCCCUU